rnacentral:rRNA from 1 species
UGGCGGCGUGGCUUAGGCAUGCAAGUCGAGCGAGAACCCGCAAGGGGGACAGCGGCAAACGGGGUAGUAAUGUGUCGGAACGUGCCCUCUGGACGGGGAUAGCGGCGGGAAACUGCCGGUAAUACCCGAUGAACUCGAGAGAGCAAAGGUGUGAUUCCGCCGGAGGAGCGGCCGACAUGGUAUUAGCUAGUUGGCGGGGUAACGGCCCACCAAGGCUGUGAUGCCUAGGGGAUGUGAGAGCAUGAUCCCCACCAUUGGGACUGAGACACUGCCCAGACACCUACGGGUGGCUGCAGUCGAGAAUCUUCGUCAAUGGGCGAAAGCCUGAACGAGCGACGCCGCGUGUGGGAUGAAGGCCUUUGGGUUGUAAACCAC